GUAGAUUAAAUUCUCUAAACAACCUUUCUUUGCACUCAAAUUAUUUAGAAGAUUUAAUCCCGCAGUCUUUGGGUAACUUAACCAACUUGGUUACCUUGUAUAUUUAUAACAAUUCACUUUCUGGUUCAAUUCCAAGUGAAUUAGGAAACCUGAAGUCUCUUUCUGAUCUAGAAUUGGGCAACAAUAAACUCAGUGGCUCGAUUCCUCAUUCUUUGGGUAACUUAACCAACUUGGUUACCUUGUAUAUUCAUAACAAUUCACUUUCUGGCUUAAUUCCAAGUGAAAUAGGAAACUUGAAGUCUCUUUCUAAUCUAGCAUUGAGCAGUAAUAAACUUAGUGGCUCAAUCCCUCAAUCUUUGGGCAAUUUGAGCAACUUAGCUAUGUUGUAUCUUUAUAGCAAUUUACUUUUUGGUUCAAUUCCAAGUGAAUUAGGAAACCUGAAGUCUCUUUCCGAUCUAGAAUUGGCCAACAAUAAACUCAGUGGUUCGAUUCCUCAUUCUUUGGGUAACUUAACCAACUUGGUUACCUUGUAUAUUCAUAACAAUUCACUUUCUGGCUUAAUUCCAAGUGAAAUAGGAAACUUGAAGUUUCUUUCUAAUCUAGCACUGAGCAGUAAUAAACUUAGUGGCUCAAUCCCUCAAUCUUUGGGCAAUUUGACCAACUUAGCUACGUUGUAUCUUUCUAUCAAUUCAUUUUUUGGUUCAAUUCCAAGUGAAUUAGGAAAUUUGAAAUCUCUUUCCAUUCUAGAUUUAGGGUUCAAUAAACUCAGUGGCUCAAUCCAUAUUUCUUUGAGUAACUUGACCAACUUGGCUUACUUGAGUUUGUAUAAGAAUUCACUUUCUGGUGUCAUCCCUGAAGAAUGUCGAAAACUUGUGAAGUUGACUAAGCUAUUUUUGGGUAAUAACCAAUUUCAAGGUCCAAUUCCCAAUUUGCGAAAUUUGACAAGCCUUGUAAGAGUACGUCUCAAUGAAAACCAUCUCACUGGAAAUAUAUCUGAAUCUUUUGGUAUUUAUCCAAACUUAACUUUCAUAGAUCUCAGCCACAAUUACUUUUAUGGUGAAAUCUCAUCUCAGUGGGGAAGAUGCCCAAAGUUAGGCACUUUAGAUUUUUCUAUAAAUAACAUUACUGGCAAUAUACCUCCUGAAAUUGGGUACUCAUCUCAAUUAGAAGUUCUUGAUCUUUCAUCAAAUCAUAUUGUUGGCAAGAUUCCAACAGAACUUAGUAAGCUUAGUUUUUUUAUCAAGCUCAUUUUGGCUCAAAAUCAGCUCUCUGGACAGCUAUCUCCAAAACUCGGGUUACUCGUUCAACUCGAGCACCUUGACUUGUCUUCAAAUAGAUUAAGCAAUUCAAUCCCAGAAAGUCUUGGCAACUUGGUCAAAUUACAUUACUUAAAUUUAAGCAAUAAUCAGUUCAGUUGGGAAAUUCCAAUUAAAUUGGGGGAGUUAAUUCAUCUUUCAGAAUUAGAUUUGAGUCAUAAUCUUCUUGAAAGAGCAAUACCAUCGCAAAUAUGCAUUAUGCAAAGCUUAGAGAAGCUGAAUCUCUCCUACAAUAGCCUCUCUGGUUUCAUUCCAAGAUGCUUUGAAGAAAUGCAUGGCCUGCAACGCAUUGUCUUAUCCUACAAUGAGUUACGAGGUCCAAUUCCUAACAGCACAGCAUUCAGAGAUGCUCCAAUGGAAGCAUUACAAGGGAACAAAGGAUUAUGCGGAGACUUCAAAGGACUUCCAUCUUGCAAAGCAUUAAAGUCAAAUAAACAAGCUUCGAGAAAGAUUUGGAUUGUUGUGUUGUUUCCUCUCUUAGGGAUUGUUGCUCUUUUAAUUUCUUUGAUUGGACUGUUCUUUAAGUUUCAACGAAGGAAGAAUAACUCACAAUCACAAGAGACUAGCCCUAGAAAUACUCCGGGUUUGUUUUCAGUGUUAACUUUUGAAGGAAAAAUCAUGUAUGAAGAAAUUAUUAGAGCAACAAAUGACUUUGAUGACAAGCACUGCAUUGGAAAGGGUGGACAAGGAAGUGUUUACAAAGCUGAGCUAGGUACUGGAGAAAUCGUUGCGGUCAAGAAAUUUCAUUCGCCACUCCCAAGUGAGAUGACAUUUCAGCAAGAAUUCUUGAAUGAAGUCAAGGCUUUGACUGAGAUACGACAUCGUAAUAUUGUGAAGUUUUAUGGCUUUUGUUCACAUGCCCGACACUCGUUUAUAGUUUAUGAAUAUCUUGAAAUGGGUAGCUUGGCCAUGAUCCUAAGCAAUGACGCAACAGCAAAGGAUUUGGAAUGGACACAAAGAAUGAAUGUGAUAAAAGGUAUAGCUCAUGCAUUGUCUUACAUGCACAAUGAUUGUUUCCCACCAAUUGUUCAUAGAGAUCUAUCAAGCAAACAUGUGCUAUUAGAUUUCGAGAAUGGAGCCCAUGUUUCGGAUUUUGGAAUUGCCAAGUUUCUCAAGCCAGACUCAUCCAAUUGGGCAGAACUUGCGGGCACACAUGGAUAUGUUGCACCAGGUAUGCAAAUUAUUAUUGAAGCUUGUACAGUAUACUAAUUAAUAUUAGCUUACUAGAUUUCAUGUAAAAAUAAUAAUAAUAUAACAAUUAUUCUUUUUGUUUUUCUCUUUUAGAGCUUGCAUACACAAUGAAAGUUACUGAAAAGUGCGACGUGUAUAGCUUUGGAGUGUUGGCAUUGGAAGUGAUAAAGGGGAAGCAUCUAGAAGAUUUUAUUUCCUCAAUUUCCUCUUCAUCUUUGAACUUGAACAUAGCACUAGAUGAAAUGUUGGACCCUCGGCUUCCAACUCCAUCGCGCAAUGUUCAAGAAAAAUUGAUAACAAUCGUGGAAGUUGCCAUUUCAUGCAUAGAUGAGAGUCCUAAAUCUAGACCAACCAUGCAGAAGGUGUCUCAAUUGUUGAAGAUCUAGUCAAUUGAAAAUUUAGUCAGACUUGUAAAUAGCUUAUUUUUCCAAGUAAUUGGUCUGGCCCUUUGAAAUUGUUUUCUAGAUUUUACCAUAUCAUAAGGGGUAAUGCUUGUAAGUCCUGUUGACUAGAUGUAUCUUUUUCAUUUGAUGAAUAAAAUCUUUCCUCACCUCACACGGCUUAAGGUUUAAUAAACCAACAGUGUUUGUGAUAUGUCUCUCCAAAACCGUUGCCUGUUUUCAAACUUGCACCCUCAAUUUCUCUUAUCAGUUCAGUUAAAGCCCAUCAACAUACUGUUAACUGGAUGACGAGGUGCUCCAUUACAAGAAGCAAAGCUUCUCUUCAAAAGAAUUUCAAGUACAUGAUAUUAGCAAAUAUGUUACCAUGUCUUCAAAAUUUUUAUUGUACGUCCUAAAUAGCCUGAUAAUGUUCCUAUCUUAGCCAUUAGAUGGUACACAUUGGGAAACUUAACAAAAAUUCUUAGGGAGCAUAACAAAAAAAAAAUAAAAGAAAUACGAAAUGAAGAAAAACAUGAUUGCUGUAGUCAUGCAAUAGAACUGAAAUACAAGAAAAUAACAAUUAAGAAACAAAAACACCUUAAAUGUCUUAAUUUCGUAUCCUAGAUGCUCUAUACAUUAUUAAACCACAAAACCCACUAUUAUGCCCCCCUUGCCUGUUAACUUAGCACUUGCAAUAACCUCUUCGAUAAUCAUCUUCCACGGCUAAAUAAUUUGAGAAAGCAUUAGACACCAUUCAGAUGUACAUCUCUGUAAGAAACAUAUAUUUGAAAGUUCUUAAGGAGCUCACACAAUUACCUAAAUGGAAUUUUCCCUAAAAAAAAAAAGUGAGGUCAGUCAGUCAUAAUUUGGGUUGGGGGAGAUGAACUUGUUAGUUAGAACCACCUGGGUGUUGACUGGAACCUGGUCAAUUAUGGCAAGCAAUGCAGCACGAGCUUGCUUUUAACGUAUCCAGCCCUGAAAAGUAUAAUAAUAGCAGGUGGACAACUGGGCCUACCAGUUGCUGCUACAAAGGUGGCUUGGGGAAAAGAAUUAUUGAUGAACCAUCAGAUUGUUGUUAUCCAAGGCAUUUACCAAUGUUACAUCCGUGUGUUCUCCAGAAGACGAAUUGACUUGAACCCAAUCACUUUAAGUUCUCUUGCUUUAUUGUGCAAAAUUCACUACGUGGCAUAUGAACAAAAAUCACCCAAUUGAAAAAAAUGAAAGUUUUUGAAAUGUUGACUUGCAGUAUGUUCUUAGUUUCUUUGAGAUAAAUCACUAAAGAAAUUGGCAAACGUCACAUAUCUAAACAUCUUCAAUAAGCUGUGCAUAAAUCAUUCAUUUUUUACAGCAAGCAAAUUUAAUUUAGUAGGAAAUUAUAGUUCAUUUGUUACAGCGAUAUUGCUAUUGUACUGCUACUGCACAAAGCAUGCCCAGAUGUUCUCAUUCCUUGCUUCCAUCACUCCCUUCCCCUGAUUAAGUAAGCUAUUUCCAAAAAGAAACCCCACGUUCCUUGGAAAGCAUAUGUCAACAAGGCCAUAUAUACGAACGUUUACUCAAACCAAAAAAUUUCUACUCAAAGAAAAGGCUAGUUACUAGCUUUACGAGCAGCGGCCGAGGUGAAUUCAGAUCCUCAACGGCAACAGGACAGACCAUAGAUUGUGAACCAACUUCAAAUGCGCAUGUCUCCCCUCCCUCAGAGUUAUCUUUUAAAAGCAAACCGCCUUCCUUUUUGAUUAUCUGCAAGUUUAAGCAAGAUGACUGCCUUAAAGUUAUCUUAGACUCCUCUGUUUGUUUUAGCUUGUGAACGUGCUUUGUCACACUUUGCAAGAACAGCAUGUGCUUGAUGGUACGUUCUAGAAGUGCAUCCAUGCUACAUUGUUGAACCAUAUCAAGGGAAUAAAGAAUAGUAUCAGCAUUAAAACAUAAAUUACUAUUGUCAAAAUACAGAUAAAAUUAAAAUUAUUAGUGAAAAAAAUGCAAUUAUUUUUGCCCCGUUUGGUAAAAUUUCUCCCAACUCUUUUACGCCCUCUUGAAUCAUCUAACGAUCUUUGGGCCUUGGUCUAGGGUUCCCACCAGGUUGUAGUCUUUUGCAAUUUGAUUUAGUUGUGUCAUCAUUUUUUUGUAAUAUGCAGUCGAGACAGUAGCAUUGUGCAUUUGUGCUUCACACUUUGACCCUGUUCUGCCCAAGAACUGAUGGGGGACCCAUAUGUGGAACUAUUUUGGGAACAAUUUUCUCCAUCAUUCUUGCUAUGGCCAAACUGAAAAGGAUUGGAUACCGCAGCCUCUGCCUUUUCCAAGGACUUAGUAAGGAAAAAUAGCUCCACAUGCACUAAGUUAGAUAUAUUAACCUUGCCAAACGAGGGAGAAAUAGUGGGAAUAGAGGAGCAACUGAUCUGUGUCAACAUUGUCCUGCAAGUGACAUUAUCAUCUGAGUUCUGCUUCGGGACAGUGUUAGCCCUAGAGAUCAUAGCUUCUAAUUAAAAAUGCAUGGUAUAUCCCAGAGAAGGAAGUGCAUGGAAACCUGCACUCACACCAGGAGCAUUCAUAGACAUUGAACUACUUUCACCCAUAUGUUAUCCAUCAGCAAGUAAAUUAUUCCAAUUUGCGUUGAGGAGCUUAUUCUUAAAUCCAAACCCAAAAAAUCAAACAAGUAAUCCACUGAAGGUGGUUCCAUGCUUCCUGAUCAAAAUCUAGCGACAACAAGAUUUUGAAGUCAUACAUUUCCAUAGUCAGAUGUUUGGUAGUCGUUAACAAAACCAGGCAUUUGCCCACUCAACAUAUGCUGAUCAAGUUGAGUCAGAGGGUUGUUAAGAGUUUGAAACAAAUCAUCAUCUACCCUUCCCUUCAAUGAAGCUAGAUUAUUUGGAGUAUGAUUAGCAUCUAAAAAACUAUGUCUUUCAUCACAGCCUCCUGAAGGCAUGAAACUGGUGGUUGUAUCCACCAGACUGUACAAAGAAACCUCCUCUUCAGAGGAAUUAGCUUUUUAAUCGCAAAAGCAUGAAGUUGAAAAUAGACUUGUCUGAUUACUGAUCCCACCACGUAAGUCCCCCUUUACAAAAUAUUUUGUAGGAAGAAAACCUCUAACCAAGCACAUAGAGGAAGUGAUAAAUGUCAACAAAAAUUACUGGCGCCAAAUACACAGAUAAAGAGAAAUCAUGCAUUUGGUACAGAGCCGAUAAAUAAAUAAGUUUGAAAACGGAGAGAAAGUUCAAGCUUUAGAGUACAUAAAUUUUGGCAACGAUGGACUGAAUUCUUAAUAUAAAGCAUUCACCAAACUAACAUAAUUCCCCAAUUUCCAAUCAAAGAGAACACUAACAAUCCAAUAGAAAGCGAACGCUAAACAAACUCAGAGUACUAAUAAGAAAGUGAAUGCAAGCACCCAUCACAAAUUGGAAGAUGUUAAAAGCUAAUACUCCUGUGAAACACAAAAAAUCUGAAGAUAAUUAGAGCAGAAAAUCAAAUACAAAAGAGAUGAAAUGAGAAAUAAAAAUACUAACCACUUUAAGAAGAAGACUCGUUAGCUGAAGUUUUCUUAAUGCCAGUUGAGUUUCUGACCAUGUCACUGACUGCUGACAGCACUCCAGCAGUUAUUGCCUGCGUUGGGUAAUAAAUAUUCAAGCUUUCCUGAACUUUCUCAGCCACCAAGCAAAAAAAUUAUACACAAAAAAGAAAAAUCCAUAAUAGAGAUGAAAUAAAACAACAAAACAAAUAAGAAAGAAGGGACCUUUGUUCCAGAAGCGGGUUGCUGAAGCUGCGUCAAUUACUGUUGCAAUCCUUUCUUUGCAGCUGUUCCCAUUUUCUUUUAACGGCCGAUAAUAAAAUGUCUUCCAUUAAAUAAAGACCUGCCCCCAUUAGUGUUUGAGGUCUUACAUAACUAAAAAUAAGUGACAUAUUCUUAAAUAAAUAUGACAAAUGUCUAGCAGAAAAUGGAACAAAUAGCCAACAAUAAAAAGAUGCAUAAGAUAAUAGGUAGUUAGAAUGACUUAGGACAUCCGAUUGUAUAUAGUUAGGAACAGUAGAUAAAAGCCAAAAAAAAAAAAAAGGCGGAUGUACGGUACAGCAGAAAGAAAAAAAAAAAGCAAAGCUAAAAUAAAAAAAGACUUUUUUAAUUAUUUAAAAUUGCAUUAGCUAAAUUAACACCAUGGAAAUAGAAGUGCCAUAGAUGCACCUUGUCUAAGCCAAAACCUUGGAAACCUGAGGCUAAUAUAUCACCGCGAGGCCACCUGGAGAAGGAGCAGAAGAUGCAUCACAAUAGCCUCUCAGUAUGUUCCCUUAUUCGGCAGUGAAUCCGAGAGAGGUGAGCAUUGUAGGGCAACAAUUACGGAUGAUGAUAUCAAUAGCGCGGCAACAGUCAAGGCCAAUAUCAGCCUGGCUAUUAAGGAAAGGAAGAAUAUAACAAUCUCAUUUGAGCAUGAUUUCAGCUCCAUUAACACGUUCCAGUACUCCGUUAGGCCUCCGCUAGCUUCGAGUCUUGUUACAAGAUCGUAGCCUGAUUUCAUAUUGUUGUUGAGGCAAUCAUUCCUGCUGGUUGCAUUUGCAAUAUUUGCCAUGAUCAGGCAAGUGAGGGCCAAAAUGAAAAACACAUGUUUUGGAGCCAUUGCUAUUUUUUGUUAUUUUAUGUUGUGUUUAUGUUUACGUGGGAUAUCAUAUUUUUUGUUGCUAUUUAUAAAUUAAGGUGAGGCAGAGGAGAAGAGUGAUUAAAAAUGUUUAUAAAUUAUUGCUUAAUUUAUGAUUAAGAAGGUUUCAAUUAGAGAAGAUAGUGAGUCUUUUGAUGAGCUGUUACAUAUUGAUUGUGUAAUAACAGUCAAAUUAAUUAUGCAAAGAUAAAAAGUCAAAUUUGAAAGAAAAUUUCUCUAUUUAUUAGAUAAUAGAGAAUAUACAAAGAUGAGAAAUGGUGAUGCCACAUCACCUCUUGUAGUCCCAACUUUAUAUAAAUAUAUAGAUUCUUUAAGUAGAUGAUAAUUCUUUAUAAAAACUGAGUAAAUUAAUUGUAUAAUCUCAUUGGCUAAUUGAUAAAUGCUGCAUUAUUUGAGAUAAUUUUUCAGAAUAAAAACUUAAGAAUGCGUAGCAGUACUCAAUUUUUUUUUUCUUUAACAUGUCACUCACUUGUUACCAUUGAAUUAAUUUAAGCUACAUAACCAGUAUUUAAUUUCUUCAUCAAUCCUUGUGCAUUGGUUUUUUAGAUGACAUCUUGGUAGAUUGGAUAGAAAUGUUCGUCUCCAUUAAUUACACAAAAAAUGUUUAAUUCAAGUGUUUAAAGUAUGGGAAAAUUUGGAAAAGUUUUAAAACUGUGAGGUCUUAAAGCUUUUCUGAACUUUUCCAUACUUUAAAAUCUCAUAUUAAGAAACUGACACACACACACAAAGUGAUAAUAAGGCCUCAAUUGAUAGAUAACUAACAAAAUUAAUGAAAACCAAUUUUUUUCCCUAACAACAGCUAGUCUAGUUUAGAGAGGUUGACGUAUUGACUUGUUGCCUCACCUCGUUGAUUCUAUUACCUCAUUUGCUCUUUGAAUAUAUAUAUAUAUAUAUAUAUAUAGCUGCCAUAAAUUUGCAUUUCAGUGUGUUUCUUUGUACAUCCAUCAUUCCUAGAUGUGUAUUUCUAUUUGCCUUGUCUAGCUAAUCUUUAAUUCUUGUUGUUCUCAUCUGCAGUUGUUCUCUACUCUUUCUAUAAUUAUUGAGUCUUAGUUGAUCUCCCACUAUGCAAUGGUGUUACCAAACUUGAGAAACGAUUUAGUAAUUUUCUCACUGGCUUUUUUUAUCCUAUUUUGUGUUUUAAAUUUUCCACCAAUUGUUUCUUCGUAUUAUAUGGAAGAAGCCCGUGCACUUCUCAGAUGGAAAACUAGCCUUCAAAAUCAUAAUAAUGGAUCUCCCCUAUCUUCAUGGACUCUUAAUAAUGUCACCAAAACAGGCUCGUGUGCUUGGGUUGGAAUUCAUUGCAACCAUGGUGGAAGAGUCAAUAGUAUUAACCUCACAAGUAUAGGUUUAAAAGGUACGCUUCAUGAUUUCUCAUUCUCAUCAUUUCCUCAUCUCACAUAUCUUGAUCUUCAAUGCAAUCAACUCUUUGGAAACAUCCCGCCUCAAAUUAGUAACAUUUCAAAACUCAAGCAUCUUGGUUUAUCAUCCAAUUCGUUUUCUGGUGCCAUACCGCCACAAAUUGGCCACCUAAGUUAUCUCAAGACCCUUCACUUGUUCGAGAAUCAACUAAGUGGCUCAAUUCCUCAUGAAAUAGGUAGAUUAAAUUCUCUAAACAACCUUUCUUUGCACUCAAAUUAUUUAGAAGAUUUAAUCCCGCAGUCUUUGGGUAACUUAACCAACUUGGUUACCUUGUAUAUUCAUAACAAUUCACUUUCUGGCUUAAUUCCAAGUGAAAUAGGAAACUUGAAGUCUCUUUCUAAUCUAGCAUUGAGCAGUAAUAAACUUAGUGGCUCAAUCCCUCAAUCUUUGGGCAAUUUGAGCAACUUAGCUAUGUUGUAUCUUUAUAGCAAUUUACUUUUUGGUUCAAUUCCAAGUGAAUUAGGAAACCUGAAGUCUCUUUCUGAUCUAGAAUUGGGCAACAAUAAACUCAGUGGCUCGAUUCCUCAUUCUUUGGGUAACUUAACCAACUUGGUUACCUUGUAUAUUCAUAACAAUUCACUUUCUGGCUUAAUUCCAAGUGAAAUAGGAAACUUGAAGUCUCUUUCUAAUCUAGCAUUGAGCAGUAAUAAACUUAGUGGCUCAAUCCCUCAAUCUUUGGGCAAUUUG
rnacentral:lncRNA from 1 species